UGGAUUUUGGAGAAAAUCGGAUACAGAAAAUUUCUACUAAUUGGCAUGGUGACCUGUCUCAUCUCUAUGUCUGGACCUGGGGCCUGCAAUCAUAGUGACUUUGCCUACCUGUAUCUCCCCACAUUCUACCAAGCUCCAACAAAAGGUGAUCAUGUGAUUCAUAAUGGCCAAUGAAUAGGCAGCCUUACACAGUUUGUUGUUUUCAAGGGUCUCUGGGCAAGGGAAUGAGUGGGGCCUGAAAUCUAGCCAUGCUUCUCUCCCCAAUCUGUGUACCUUGGCAUGGGGUAUAUAUGCCCGAAGAAAGGUCGCCUUUUUCUAAUUCUCAUAAAGGCUCCAUCUGCUUGCCAAGCUGUUCACCUGCAGGGCUGUAUCCACCUAGUGGGGAAAUCAUUUGCUCAUUUGUACAAAGGCUCUGGAGCCAUAUGGGCUAACAAAGGCCUUGCCAAUGAGAGAACUCCCUACCCCUUGCCUCGGUGACUGCUUCG
rnacentral:lncRNA from 1 species